UGCCCCUGCCCCACUCACACUCUGUCUCUCAAAAAUGAUAAAUGUUAAAAAAAAAAAAACAAUUUAAUCAAUUUUGCUUAAAGUAUAUUUUCUCAAUACCAAGGUUUUUAAUUUGAUAUAGUUACUUUAGCUACGCAUUGCAGAUAUGUUUUCUGGAUUCCUUUAUUCAUUUUUGAAGAAGAAAAUGACUUUUUUACAUGGGUUUCUAUGUAAAGCUUUAAGUGAUAGUAAAUACUAAGAAUAAAUAUUUUCAAAACUACAAACAAAACAACAAAAAACUGGAGGAAACGAAUAAAAUGGUCUGCCUUAAAUAAUACAGGGUAGCAAUUAGGAGUUUGACCUCUGGAGCCAGAUUGUUUAAAUCCCAGGGUCACCACUUACAGUGUGUCUUUGGCCUACUUAAUCUCCAUCCCAGUUUCCUCACAUUGGAUAAUAUAUGAUGUUAUAGCCAUUUAAGUAGUUAAACCAUAUAAUGUACAUUUAGAAUAGCACUUGGCAGGUAGUUAAGUGCUUAGUGUUAGUUACUGUUAAUCCAUUUAAAAAAAUUACUCCACUUGAGUUAAUUUUCUCCUUGGAUCUAUCAUAUCAUAGUGCUACAAUCCAGAGUGCCUAAUGUGGUAGGUUUAAAAAGCAGAUUUCU